GAUGAACGCUGGCGGCGUGCCUAACACAUGCAAGUCGAGCGAUUCUCUUCGGAGAAGAGCGGCGGACGGGUGAGUAACGCGUGGGUAACCUGCCCUGUACACACGGAUAACAUACCGAAAGGUAUGCUAAUACGGGAUAAUAUGUCUUGAUCGCAUGGUCGAAAUAUCAAAGCUCCGGCGGUACAGGAUGGACCCGCGUCUGAUUAGCUAGUUGGUAAGGUAACGGCUUACCAAGGCGACGAUCAGUAGCCGACCUGAGAGGGUGAUCGGCCACAUUGGAACUGAGACACGGUCCAAACUCCUACGGGAGGCAGCAGUGGGGAAUAUUGCACAAUGGGCGAAAGCCUGAUGCAGCAACGCCGCGUGAGCGAUGAAGGCCUUCGGGUCGUAAAGCUCUGUCCUCAAGGAAGAUAAUGACGGUACUUGAGGAGGAAGCCCCGGCUAACUACGUGCCAGCCGCCGCCGUAA
rnacentral:rRNA from 1 species